ACAAUGAUACGCCUGUCUGGCCAUAAUGUUGAGCGUUGAAGCGGGAUUUGGAACGUGAUCCGUCGUAACAAGUGGAGACAGCUCGGAGAGAUCCUCGGAGGGGUGUGAUUCCCGUGG
ncrna:unclassified sequences pemK RNA